GUAAGGAAUAUUGGACAAUGGACGCAAGUCUGAUCCAGCCAUGCCGCGUGAAGGAUUAAGGUCCUCUGGAUUGUAAACUUCUUUUAUAAGGGACGAAAAAAGGCUUUUCUAAGUCGUCUGACGGUACCUUAUGAAUAAGCACCGGCUAACUCCGUGCCAGCAGCCGCGGUAAUACGGAGGGUGCAAGCGUUAUCCGGAUUCACUGGGUUUAAAGGGUGCGUAGGCGGGCAGGUAAGUCAGUGGUGAAAUCCUAGAGCUUAACUCUAGAACUGCCAUUGAUACUAUCUGUCUUGAAUAUUGUGGAGGUAAGCGGAAUAUGUCAUGUAGCGGUGAAAUGCUUAGAUAUGACAUAGAACACCUAUUGCGAAGGCAGCUUACUACGCAUAUAUUGACGCUGAGGCACGAAAGCGUGGGGAUCAAACAGGAUUAGAUACCCCGGUAGUCA
rnacentral:rRNA from 1 species